CUUUCUUAGGGCUGAUAUGACAAUUGCUGGCACUGCGUAAUUGCUGUGUGGCUACUUGAAAACUUCUCCACUAGAGACUCACUGAGAGCACCUAUUCUGUUGAAUGGAUUUGGCACAAGGAGGAGGAGAGAAGACAAAUGGCCUGGGCUGGUAAGAGACAAAAGUGCCGUGUGUGAGUCUUGGCCCACCUACCUGCUGUGAGACUCUGGGCAAAUCACCUGGUCCCUCUCUUCCCACAUCUUCUGAUGAGCCUUGCUGCCUAUUUCCUGAGUAGCUCAGUGGCCACCAGAGACCCCAGGCUCUUUAUCAACAUUUCAAGAUUGUAUUAGCCCAGAGACCAUGUCCCAACAAAAUGCCACCAGGAACUCAUGUGGGACGGAGCUGGAAGAUGCCAGCGGUUGCCCCUUCCCCAUGUUAGUGCCUCUUUUCUCCGCACCAACCCUCAGUUCACACCAGAAUGAGACUGCCUGCAUUCACUUUCUGCUCUUACUUCAGAGAAUGUGGCUUAUUCUCAGGCAAUGAACCAGAGGACAACAGACAUUUUCUUUGAGGGAAAUGCAACUUUUUGAAAUUAAAAGGGCAUUUUGUUUUAAUUGAAGAACAUUCAGAUCAGAAACUGGGUUAAAAAUAAACACUGCAGAGCCAGACACAGUGGCUCAGGCCUGUAAUCUUAGCAUUUUGGGAGGCCAAGGCAGGUGGAUCACUUGAGGCCAGGAGUUCAAGACCAGCCUGGCCAACAUGGCAAAAGCCAUCUCUACUAAAAAUAUAAAAAUUAGCAGGGCAUGGUGGCAUCGGCCUGUAAUCCCAGCUACCUGGGAGGCCGAGGCAUGAGAAUCGCUUGAACCUGGGAAGCGGAGGUUGCAGUGAGCCGAGAUCAUGCCACCACACUCCAGCCUGGGCAACAGAGCGAGACUCUGUCUCAAAAUAAAAUAAAAUAAAAUAAUAAGUAAACCCUGCAGAAUCUGAGAGAACAGAGCUCUCGAUGUGGGGGUCUGAUCAGUUUUCCAAGCGUCAACAGACUGGUCCUUCCUAGGAUGCGUGUUUCUUCUGCGGUCGUGUUUACACAUUGGUUUCUGGCAAGAGCAAAGUGUUUGCUUGUGACCUUAAAUAAAAUGCAGACAUCACCUCACUGAGUCUCAUCAAAA
rnacentral:lncRNA from 1 species